rnacentral:rRNA from 1 species
UACGUAGGGUGCAAGCGUUGUCCGGAAUUACUGGGCGUAAAGAGCUCGUAGGCGGUUUGUCGCGUCGUCUGUGAAAUCCCGCAGCUCAACUGCGGGCUUGCAGGGCGAUACGGGCAGACUUGAGUACUGCAGGGGAGACUGGAAUUCCUGGUGUAGCGGUGAAAUGCGCAGAUAUCAGGAGGAACACCGGUGGCGAAGGCGGGACUCUGGGCCGAUACUGACGCUGGAGGAAGCGAAAGCGUGGGGAGCAAACAGG